UACUUAGUUUUCAUGCUGCAUUAAGUUGGAUUGCUGCUAUUAAAAAAAAAAUAAAGCACAUGGAUUAAAAAAAAUACUCACCCAAAGACUUAAAAGAACAGAAAAUUUUCUGCUAAGUUGUUAAGUAAGGAGAACCUCAUUUGGUAUUUUAAGAGUGCAAAUUGCAUCCAUAAAUACAGAACUGACUUUCAGUACAAAAGGAUCAGUGAAUUAAAGUUACGAAAGAUUUCCCCAUGAGCCUACAGUCAAUAUUGUUUACAUUAAGAAGCCAUUGUUGUCAUCUUGCUAUUUUCCAUAAAGUCAUGGGCAUAGCGUGGCUUCCGCUCCCGAGUGCCUAUGACCACGGGUAAAUACUACCUUGCAUCUAAUUGUUCUUUCACAAUUAUUUUGUGCCCCUUUUAUUAAAAACACAUGUGAUGUAGAACGACACGACAAGACCUAAAGAGACUAUUUUAUUCUCGGAGUUUGGACUGGGAUUUUCUGAAGUGAUUCUGGUUCAUUGUAUGGAAAACUGUAAUUUUCUAUUCAAUCAAAAGCAAGCAUUUAAUCUAAUGGGUAAAUGUGGGUCCUGCCAUUCACUUAUAUUUUAAAGAACCACUUAAAAUUGGAUUUGUAAGAAAUAAAAAAUGUCAUCCCACAUGGCCUAUUACAAAAAGCCAGGACCAUUUUUAACUCAGAAAAGUAGCUGGCAUCGUUGCCUCUCUUGCUGUACACAGCUGCGUGCAUUAAUACAAUAAACCUAGAAUUUUGCACUAUUGUCAUUUCUUUGAUAGAAUAACUUAUUUUUGCUUUGAAAAAAUUUUUCUGCAUGUCCUAGUGUCUUCAAUCUGGUUGAAAUUUUGUUUAUUUCAUAGUGUUUAAAUCCAGCCAUAGAUAUUAACUGUGUUCCAGGUUUUUUUGCUGAAGUCAUUUUUUUCCUUUUGUAUUUCCUUAUUGUCAUUUUAGUGUCUUA
rnacentral:lncRNA from 1 species